AUUGAACGCUGGCGGAAUGCUUUACACAUGCAAGUCGAACGGUAGAGGGGGCAACCCCUUGAGAGUGGCGAACGGGUGAGUAAUAUAUCGGAACGUGCCCAGUCGUGGGGAUAACGUAGCGAAAGUUACGCUAAUACCGCAUACGAUCUACGGAUGAAAGCGGGGGACUCGCAAGAGCCUCGCGCGAUUGGAGCGGCCGAUAUCAGAUUAGGUAGUUGGUGGGGUAAAGGCUCACCAAGGCCAACGAUCUGUAGCUGGUCUGAGAGGACGACCAGCCACACUGGAACUGAGACACGGUCCAGACUCCUACGGGAGGCAGCAGUGGGGAAUUUUUGGACAAUGGGCGCAAGCCUGAUCCAGCAAUGCCGCGUGCAGGAUGAAGGCCUU
rnacentral:rRNA from 1 species